rnacentral:rRNA from 1 species
AUCCUACGGGAGGCAGCAGUGAGGAAUAUUGGUCAAUGGGCGGAAGCCUGAACCAGCCAAGUCGCGUGAGGGAAUAAGGCCCUACGGGUCGUAAACCUCUUUUGCCGGGGAGCAAGGGCGGGGACGUGUCCCGGCCCGGAGAGUACCCGGAGAAAAAGCAUCGGCUAACUCCGGGCCAGCAGCCGCGGUAAUACGGAGGAGGCGAGCGUUAUCCGGAUUUAUUGGGUUUAAAGGGUGCGUAGGCGGGCUUUUAAGGCAGCGGUGAAAAUUCGGGGCUGAAACCCGUCCGGCCGUUGAAAAGGGGG